AGAGUUUGAUCAUGGCUCAGAACGAACGCUGGCGGCGCGCCUAAUACAUGCAAGUCGAACGAGAAUGUGUAGCAAUACACAUGUAAAGUGGCGAACGGGUGAGGACUACAUGGGUAACCUACCCUCGAGUGGGGGAUAACCAGCCGAAAGGUUGGCUAAUACCGCGUACGCUUCCCGGACUGCGGUUCGGGAAGGAAAGCGAUACCGUGGGUAUCGCGCUCUUGGAUGGGCUCAUGCCCUAUCAGCUUGUUGGUGAGGUAACGGCUCACCAAGGCAUCGACGGGUAGCUGAUCUGAGAGGAUGAUCAGCCACACUGGCACUGCGACACGGGCCAGACUCCUACGGGAGGCAGCAGUAAGGAAUAUUGCGCAAUGGGCGAAAGCCUGACGCAGCGACGCCGCGUGGGGGAUGAAGGUCUUCGGAUUGUAAACCCCUUUCGGGAGGGAAGAUGGGAUGGGGUAACCCAUUCGGACGGUACCUCCAGAAGCAGCCACGGCUAACUUCGUGCCAGCAGCCGCGGUAAUACGAAGGUGGCAAGCGUUGUUCGGAUUUACUGGGCGUACAGGGAGCGUAGGCGGUUGGGUAAGCCCUCCGUGAAAUCUCCAGGCUUAACCUGGAAAGUGCAGAGGGGACUGCUUAGCUAGAGGAUGGGAGAGGAGCGCGGAAUUCCCGGUGUAGCGGUGAAAUGCGUAGAGAUCGG
rnacentral:rRNA from 1 species